UACGUUCCCGGGCCUUGUACACACCGCCCGUCACACCACGAGAGUUUGUAACACCCGAAGUCGGUGAGGUAACCUUUAUGGAGCCAGCCGCCGAAGGUGGGACAGAUGAUUGGGGUGAAGUCGUAACAAGGUAGCCGUAUCGGAAGGUGCGGCUGGAUCACCUCCUUUCUAAGGA
rnacentral:rRNA from 1 species